GAGCAGUUUUGUGUCAGCAUCCAGCAUGGCUCCUUACCCCACCCCAGCCCAAGUGUCACCUUACAUGACCUACAGCGCUGCUCCUUCUGGUUACGUUGCUGGACAUGGGUGGCAACAUGCGGGUGGCACCCCACUGUCCCCCCACAACUGUGACAUUCCGGCAUCGCUGGCCUUCAAGGGAAUGCAGGCAGCCAGAGAAGGUAGUCAUUCUGUCACCGCUUCUGCACUCUGAUGAGAAAUUCCGUCUCCAGCAGCUGCUCUCGGGUCUCCCCUUCUCAGCACAUCCUCCCCACUUUCCCAGGUUUCACAUCUCACCCCUCCUGCCUUCUACCCUUCUUGCCUGGAGAGCUGGCUUUACAGACUCACAUCCUUUGUGCUGAUGACACUUAAAUAUUUCUUGCCAUAACCUCUUUCUUGCAGAAAACCUGACACGACUUAGGAUUUUAAAACAAAAGCAACGUUAAGGAUUGAAUGAGACUUUUGUGUUGCCCACACACUGUUUUAACGUAGUGAAGAAAUCUACACCCCUCAAAGGGCUUAAGGAACUUUUAAACUAGUCUUUGGUAAAACCACACAUGUAUAUUUAUUCUAAAUCAACCUGAACUUUUGAAAUGUGCAAUUGUUGAGAUUUUGCAAAAUCAAUAAAGAAAAACACAUGUAGAAAAAAAAGUUAUGCUACACCCUCUAAUCAAAUAAGGUGACCAAGUAAGCCUUAAUUUACC
rnacentral:lncRNA from 1 species